rnacentral:rRNA from 1 species
UACGUAGGGUGCGAGCGUUAAUCGGAAUUACUGGGCGUAAAGCGUGCGCAGGCGGUUCUGUAAGUCAGAUGUGAAAUCCCCGGGCUCAACUUGGGAACUGCAUUUGUGACUGCAUCGCUGGAGUGCGGCAGAGGGGGAUGGAAUUCCGCGUGUAGCAGUGAAAUGCGUAGAUAUGCGGAGGAACACCGAUGGCGAAGGCAAUCCCCUGGGCUUGCACUGACGCUCAUGCACGAAAGCGUGGGGAGCAAACAGG